GACAGAGGGUGCAAACGUUGUUCGGAAUUACUGGGCGUAAAGCGCGUGUAGGCUGCUCUGUGUGUCGGAUGUGAAAGCCCCGGGCUCAACCUGGGAAGUGCACUCGAAACUACAGAGCUGGAGUCUCGGAGGAGGAUCGCGGAAUUCUCGGUGUAGAGGUGAAAUUCGUAGAUAUCGAGAGGAACACCGGUGGCGAAGGCGGCGAUC
rnacentral:rRNA from 1 species